rnacentral:rRNA from 1 species
AGAGUUUGAUCCUGGCUCAGAGCGAACGCUGGCGGCGUGCUUAACACAUGCAAGUCGAGUGCGCGUUUCCGUAGCAAUACGGGAAUGGCGCACGGCGCACGGGUGCGUAACACGUGGGUAAUCUGCCCUCUGAUGGGGAAUAACCCGCCGAAAGGCGGGCUAAUACCGCAUAACAUUCCUUGGACUCCGGUUCGAGGAUUCAAAGGCGUAAGUCGUCGGAGGUGGAGCCCGCGCACGAUUAGCUAGUUGGUAGGGUAAUGGCCUACCAAGGCUAUGAUCGUUAGCUGGUCUGAGAGGAUGGCCAGCCACACUGGAACUGAGACACGGUCCAGACUCCUACGGGAGGCAGCAGUGGGGAAUCUUGCACAAUGGGCGAAAGCCUGAUGCAGCGACGCCGCGUGGGGGAUGAAGCUUCUCGGAGUGUAAACCCCUUUCGACCGGGACGAAUGCCCGCAAGGGAUUGACGGUACCGGUAUAAGAAGCCCCGGCUAACUACGUGCCAGCAGCCGCGGUAAGACGUAGGGGGCCAGCGUUGCUCGGAAUUACUGGGUGUAAAGGGUUCGUAGGCGGUGUGGCAAGUCGGGAGUGAAAUCUCUGGGCUCAACUCAGGGGCUGCUUCCGAAACUGCCGUGCUAGAGUGUGGGAGAGGCGCGUGGAAUUGCAGGUGUAGCGGUGAAAUGCGUAGAUAUCUGCAGGAACACCCGUGGCGAAAGCGGCGCGCUGGACCACUACUGACGCUGAGGAACGAAAGCUAGGGGAGCAAACAGGAUUAGAUACCCCAGUAGUCC